rnacentral:rRNA from 1 species
AGAGUGAACGCUGGCGGUAGGCCUAACACAUGCAAGUCGAACGGCAGCACAGUGGUAGCAAUACCAUGGGUGGCGAGUGGCGGACGGGUGAGGAAUACAUCGGAAUCUACCUUUUCGUGGGGGAUAACGUAGGGAAACUUACGCUAAUACCGCAUACGCCCUUCGGGGGAAAGCCGGGGAUCGCAAGACCUGGCGCGGAUAGAUGAGCCGAUGUCGGAUUAGCUAGUUGGUGAGGUAAUGGCUCACCAAGGCGACGAUCCGUAGCUGGUCUGAGAGGAUGAUCAGCCACACUGGAACUGAGACACGGUCCAGACUCCUACGGGAGGCAGCGAGUGGGGAAUAGUUGGACAAGUGGGCGCAAGCCUGAUCCAGCCAUACCGGCGUGGGUGAAGAAGGCCUUCGGUUGUAAAGUCCCGUUUGUUAGGUAAAGAAAAGCAAGUACGGUUAAUACCCGGUUGUUCGUAGACGGUACCCAAAGAAUAAGACGACCGU